UUUCGCUGGAGAAAAUGGUGCUUCUAGCCGUUCGCUGCAGCUCCUGGCUUUCGUGGAAAUGUUGAAACCCAGCGAUAAACCAGCUCUUUUGCGGUGCAUACGCCUCUUCAGGGUGUUUAGGAAAGAGGCGGGUGCAUUAAAGAGCUCACAGCCCCUCUCGGGCUCUCGCCAGGGAAGAGGUUCGCUUGGUGCUGGAGUCGCAGGGACUUCUCCGGGAGACAAGCCCGGCUGGCGGAGCAGACCUGCGGGCUCCAGCCUCCCCUUCUCUUCUCCAUCUGAGUGAGGAGAAGCCAAGAGGGGAAGAGACGCUCUCGAGGUUUCCUUUUCUGCUCUUUGCCACCUUCUACUUUUUUUUUUAAACUCUGGCCUGCUUGCCUUUUUUUUUUUUUUUUUUCUUUUCCCCUUUCCUUUGGCUUGCUCGUUUUUAACUCUUUGCUUUCACUCCCAGCGCUGCUCUUGCCUUGCAGUCCACAUGGUUUCAGCAAUCUCCAGGUCUAUACAGAGUACUCAGUCAAGCGCACCGGGCACGGGCUCUGUCUUGCAUCUGAGCUUGGUUUAUUUUGGAGGCUGAGCGGAUCCAAGCUGGUGAGAUACGGAGCUCCUAGGAAAAAGCCAGGGCACUCACGCUGAGGAGCCUGGCUCCUCACCAUGGGUCAGACCACUGGGUGCAAGCUGGAGGUUCUCCGCUGCAUCUCAGCGGGCAGUUUUGGGGAAGACUGUCUUGUUUGGAGAAUGUGAUGAAGACAAUCAGAGUUGUGGAGGAGCUCCUCUGCAAGAAAAAGCUGUGUCAGCUCCGGUACGAGGGGGAAACGGAGAUCCGCACAGACUGUCUCUGGUGAGGAGGAAGGAGGCCCAAGAGGAGUGUGACAGAGGUCUAUAAGCUGGGUCUUCCUUCCGAGCCCAGGUGUGCCAGUGGGUCACCAGCCCCCUGCAGCAUCUCACCACCUUCUCCGACCUCCAUCCUCUUGUACCCAUCUUGCAGCACACGUCAACAUGCUCCAGCCGCUGAAGGUGGACUGGGAGGCAACUUCACCCCAGUGUGGGAAUUUUGGGAGACAGAAAGGUGAUAGGAAAGGAGGGUCGCAGAUGGUGUGGAGUGGUACCUGGCCGCACACCUGCCCUGCUGCUUGCCUGUGGAGAUGCUGCUCCAGCUCGGGUGGGAUGCUACCAACAGCACCUAUGGAAGGCAGCCCCAGUAAAGCCACGCAUAGCGGCAAAGUCUCCUCCCCGGCUUCUCCGCUGUGGCCCACGGCACGUCAGCCACCAGCAUUGGUGUCGGUGGGGGCUGAUGCGGGAGGGGAGAAGCAAAGCCCGGCGAGGCGGGUCUGGGGGGGACGAUGCCACGUCCCGGUGGGAUACGGCUCGGUGUUUUGCCGGGAUGCAGAGCUCUUGAGCAAAAAGGGGAGAAAGAGGAGCGCUUGGGGUUGUAGCCCAGGCUGCUUUGGAGGUUUAUAUGAUGAGAGAAGGAGGGAGGAGAGGAUGGAUGACUGCUAGGAUGGAGAGCUGGGAGAUGGGAGCAGCCAGACCCUCCUGCCUUGGUGGUGGGACAGGGAUGACGGGUCUCCUCGGCAGUGCCCGCUUUGGGAUGAGGAUCUGCUGGUGGCCACCAUCAAACGGCAAAGGAGAGGUGAUGGGAAGGGGGGAAGAGGGGCAGGGGGGCCAUGCCGGUCCCCGUGGAGCCGCCUGGGGCUGGUGGGUGGUGGCAGCCGUAGCAGAGGUACAGGGACAUCCCGGGAGCAGGCACAACAGCGUUAUCUCAGCCACCCCACGUAACCGCUGUUCCCAUUAUACGCUGCCCUCCAGGCCUCCCCCCGGGGCCCUGCCAGCCUUUUGCGGGGCAGAUAAGGCGAGUCCCACCGCUCUAUCAGGCCAGCCCACACCUAGGAUCCAGCAAAACGUGGCUGCUGUCCCCACCCCUGCCCGAGCCCCAGCCAUGGGAUGCUUGUGCCCCCGGCAGAACCCAUCCAAACCACCCCAGGGAUGAAGCAGGGUGCAGCACGCCCAUUAAAAAUGAUUAAAAUAGCAAUUAAGGACUAUUUACACAGCUCCCAAUCCAUAAACUCUCGCUCCCAGGAAGCAAGACCAUGCUACAGCUGAUUUUUCCCAGGGGAUCCGAGCAGGAUGAUGCGUGGAAGUCAUUUUCAGAUUUUUUUUGGUGCUUCUCCAAAAAAUAAUCACGCGUUUUUCUUCUGCGGUUUUUCCUCGACCAACCCCACGUUGGGGGUC